AACGAACGCUGGCGGCAUGCCUAACACAUGCAAGUCGAACGAGACCUUCGUGUCUAGUGGCGCACGGGUGCGUAACGCGUGGGAACCUGCCCUUAGGUUCGGAAUAACUCCCCGAAAGGGGUGCUAAUACCGGAUAAUGUCUUCGGACCAAAGAUUUAUCGCCUUUGGAUGGGCCCGCGUUGGUUUAGCUAGUUGGUAGGGUAAAAGCCUACCAAGGCGACGAUCCAUAGCUGGUCUGAGAGGAUGAUCAGCCACACUGGGACUGAGACACGGCCCAGACUCCUACGGGAGGCAGCAGUGGGGAAUAUUGGACAAUGGGCGAAAGCCUGAUCCAGCAAUGCCGCGUGAGUGAUGAAGGCCUUAGGGUUGUAAAGCUCUUUUACCCGGGAUGAUAAUGACAGUACCGGGAGAAUAAGCUCCGGCUAACUCCGUG
rnacentral:rRNA from 1 species